rnacentral:rRNA from 1 species
UCGCACCUACCGAUUGGAUGGUCCGGUGAGGCCUCGGGAUUGUGACCAGUGCCUUUAUUGGUGUUGGUUGCGAGAACUUGUCCAAACCUUAUCAUCUAGAGGAAGGUG